rnacentral:misc_RNA from 1 species
UUUCCGUAAGUGAACCUGCGGAAGGAUCAUUAAUGAGUUGUCAUGGGGUUCGAUGCUGGCAGCCAAUUUUUGGAUGCAUGUGCUUGCCCCAACAAUCAUCUUCCAAACACCUGUGCACAUUUUUGAGGGAGUCUUGAGUUGGUUGCCGCUCUUGGGUGAUUUUCUCACAUUCCCUUAAAUCAUUAUACGCUAUUAACAAUGUUGAACGUGCUCUGUGCCGCAAGGCUAUUAAUAUAAUACAACUUUUAACAACGGAUCUCUUGGCUCUC